GACCAUGGUCUGAUCAGCGCUGGCACACCGGAUCUCAUCCGAACUCCGAAGUUAAGUGUGCGAUUGGACCACCAGAUUAGUACUAGGGUGGGUGACCACCCAGGAAGUCCUGGUGCUGCUUACA
rnacentral:rRNA from 1 species